rnacentral:rRNA from 1 species
AGAGUCUGAUCCUGGCUCAGGAUGAACGCUGGCGGCGUGCCUAACACAUGCAAGUCGAACGAAGCACCUUGAUUUCUUCGGAUUGAUUGGUGACUGAGUGGCGGACGGGUGAGUAACGCGUGGGUAACCUGCCUCAUACAGGGGGAUAACAGUUAGAAAUGGCUGCUAAUACCGCAUAAGCGCACGGUAUCGCAUGAUACAGUGUGAAAAACUCCGGUGGUAUGAGAUGGACCCGCGUCUGAUUAGCUAGUUGGUGAGGUAACGGCCCACCAAGGCAACGAUCAGUAGCCGGACUGAGAGGUUGACCGGCCACAUUGGGACUGAGAUACGGCCCAGACUCCUACGGGAGGCAGCAGUGGGGAAUAUUGGGCAAUGGGCGCAAGCCUGACCCAGCAACGCCGCGUGAAGGAAGAAGGCUUUCGGGUUGUAAACUUCUUUUAGCAGGGACGAAGAACGUGACGGUACCUGCAGAAAAAGCAACGGCUAACUACGCGCCAGCAGCCGCGGUAAUACGUAGGUUGCAAGCGUUGUCCGGAAUUACUGGGUGUAAAGGGCGUGUAGGCGGAGAUGCAAGUUGGGAGUGAAAUCCAUGGGCUCAACCCAUGAACUGCUUUCAAAACUGCAUCCCUUGAGUAUCGGAGAGGCAAGCGGAAUUCCUAGUGUAGCGGUGAAAUGCGUAGAUAUUAGGAGGAACACCAGUGGCGAAGGCGGCUUGCUGGACGACUACUGACGCUGAGGCGCGAAAGCGUGGGGAGCAAAACAGGAUUAGAUACCCUGGUAGUCCACGCUGUAAACGAUGAAAUACUAGGUGUGGGAGGACUGACCCCUUCCGUGCCGCAGUUAACACAAUAAGUAUUCCACCUGGGGAGUACGACCGCAAGGUUGAAACUCAAAGGAAUUGACGGGGGCCCGCACAAGCAGUGGAUUAUGUGGUUUAAUUCGACGCAACGCGAAGAACCUUACCAGGAUUUGACAUCCAACUAACGAAGCAGAGAUGCAUUAGGUGCCCUUCGGGGAAAGUUGAGACAGGUGGUGCAUGGUUGUCGUCAGCUCGUGUCGUGAGAUGUUGGGUUAAGUCCCGCAACGAGCGCAACCCCUAUUGUUAGUUGCUACGCAAGAGCACUCUAGCGAGACUGCCGUUGACAAAACGGAGGAAGGCGGGGACGACGUCAAAUCAUCAUGCCCCUUAUGUCCUGGGCUACACACGUAAUACAAUGGCCGUCAACAAAGGGAAGCAAAGCCGCGAGGUGGAGCAAACCCCCAAAAACGGCCUCAGUUCGGAUUGCAGGCUGCAACUCGCCUGCAUGAAGCUGGAAUUGCUAGUAAUCGUGGAUCAGCAUGCCACGGUGAAUACGUUCCCGGGCCUUGUACACACCGCCCGUCA